rnacentral:rRNA from 1 species
UCUGGUGUCCUAGGCGUAGAGGAACCACACCAAUCCAUCCCGAAUUUGGUGGUUAAACUCUACUGCGGUGACGAUACUGUAGGGAAGGUCCUGCGGCAAAAUAGCUCGAUGCCAGAA